CAAAACCGGAAGUGAAAUAAUAAAAUCAGCUGCCACCGGCGAAGUGUUGACCCUUCCUGUCCUAGUACAAGGACACUGGACUGACAUUUAAAUAUUCAGCUAGACAAAGAGCGAUUCUAAGCAGAAAUGACGAAUACAGAUGUGGUACCCCAGAAACCACUUCCUGCUGUAGCUAGAUUCUUUUUCUAUGGUCUUCAUGGACUUUUUGAUGAGAUUGUCUUCACAGCUUUGUUUGACCUAUUUUUAGAACCUCAUGGCAAUGCACAACUAAAAGGCUACACAACCAUUUACUCCUUCUUCAUUUAUGGUAGUUGCAGCUUAGUUGUAGAACGACUAUAUGUUUUCUUAUACUUGAAGCAUGGCAUUCCAUGGUAUACGAGAACAGCCAUCUAUCUCCUAGUAUUAUAUACAUGGGAGUUAUCAUUCGGCCUGGUUCUACGACAGUUUGAUGCAUGUUCAUGGGAUUACAGUCACUAUGAUUACAACUUUAUGGGUCUGAUUACCCUUGAAUAUGCACCAGGAUGGAUUGUUCUAUGUCUAUGGCAGGAUGUUAUAGCUGACUUUCUACUUAGUCUUUCAAUAAAUGUAAAAAGUGAUGAAAAGGAUGACAAAAUAAAGGCAGCAUGAUAAAUUCUUAUUGUGAUUUUUGUUAACAUUUUACAGAUAUAGGACUUAUUUAAUAAUGUAGUGUUAGCUUUCAUUUCAAAGUAAAAUGACAAUAAUUCAAAUUUCUAGAAUAGCCUUUAGAAAGUUUAACGUACCAUUUUAGAUUAACAGAGUGAAAGUAUAAACAAAAAAGGAAUUUAAUGAAAGAAUUUGUAGAAAGUUUUGAAAUACUCUACAAAAAGGAUGACACUUUAAAAAGGAAAAAAAAUCAUAAAAAUAUAUAUGUUAGUCUUUUUUUGUGUUGUUGAUUAAUUUGCUGUUUUAUUUGUUGUCAAUUUAAUGACCAAGCAAUUUACUUUGCAGAGAAGAUAUAUUUAUUUAUUUUUUUAGAGUGUUAGUAUUCAGGUACAUGUCAUACAUCUUUAGUAAUUAUUUAGUUCUUGAUGGUGCAGUGAAACAAUAAGAUUUUUUUUGCAUUUUGUUUAAUAUAUUCUGUUAUUUUAACGUUAUUCUGUAUUUAUGGUAACAGCCCAUACAGCAUUAUCAGAAUGUAAAGAUGAUAGUUUGAUACAUACUUUUUACUCCAUUAAUUUGACAAUCAUACUGUAAUAUGAUUGAUCGAUUGAUUGGUGUUUAACUUCACUUUCAACACUAAUGUGAUAUUUUGUGGUAGUCAGUUUUUAUUGGUGGAUGAAGCAGGAGUGCCAGGAGAGAACCACCAUCCUCUGGUAGGAAAACAGACAAUUUAGAUUGGAGUUGAGCUCACCUGCGGGAAUUGAACUCACAACCUCAGUGUUGAGAGGCUAGUGAUACAGUAGUUCCACUACUUAGACCAUUCGGCCACUGAGGACCCACAUAGUAUAAUAAUGACAGCCUUUGGAUUGUUGAAAUUCUGUUCAAUAUCAGUAUUAAUACAGAAGAAUAUUUUAUUCCAAUUAAAAUUCUAUUAUUAAUAUUCUAAGAAUAUUUUAUUCCAAUUAGUACACAUGAAUUUGAUCUGAGAUGUAUGCGGUAGGCCUACAAACUACUUAAUACAUUUAAGGAAAAUUACAAAGAUUGUCAAAAUGGGUUUAAUUUUGAGAUUUAGGUACAGGUAAAACCUGUCACCAAAAAAGAUAUUUAGCAUGUUUAGUCAGAAGAUAGAUUUUGUAUGUAAGGAUACUAAUUUCAGUCAAAUGUUUGGUGAGGUUGUUCCUUAGGGGAUCCAGUAAAAUCCUCCUGACUCUGUGUCCAGUCUUAUUCAUAUCUAUAACAACAUAAAAAAGACAUAUAAAACUAGACCUGCCUUUUUUUAUAAAUACAAUUGUACUAGGAUGAUAUGUGUGUAUUGUUGAUAACUGUAGUCAAGGGAACAAUGUAUGUAUAAAUUUGUUUGUAAAUCUGCAUUAUUGUUUGAUUAUAUAUAUUUCUUUGUUAAAGCCUAUGAAACUUUCAUACUUUUUUUUUCAAAUGUAUUGUUUACUUUUUUAGAUAGUUUUAUGAUAAUAUUGCAAUCACAUUACCGGUAUAUGCAAUCAGAUGUUAUUCAAUUGUCUUAAUGUUGUGAUAAAUACUGCUAACAUGUUUGUUUAUGAUGACUUGAAUUUGUAUUGUUUUUUUAUGUAGACAAGGAAUAAAUUUUUGUGAAAUA